rnacentral:tRNA from 1 species
CAGAAUAGAGCUUGAAUUAAGUUUUUUACUUACACUAAAAUGAUAAUUGUUAAAUCAAUUUAUUCUGA